rnacentral:rRNA from 1 species
GUGCAGCAGUCGAGAAACCUCCGCAGUACACGAAAGUGUGACGGGGCCAUCCCGAGUGCCGUCCGCUGAGGACGACUUUUCCCAGUGUACACAGCUGGGGGAAUAAGGAGAGGGCAAGCCUGGUGUCAGCCGCCGCGGUAAUACCAGCUCUCCGAGUGGUGGGGACGCUUAUUGGGCCUAAAGCAUCCGUAGCCGGCUGGGCAAGUCCUCCGUUAAAUCCAACGAUUCAAUCGUUGGGCUGCGGGGGAUACUGUCCAGCUUGGGGGCGGGAGAGGCCGACGGUAUUCCCGGGGUAGGGUGAAAUCCUAUAAUCCCGGGAGGACCACCAGUGGCGAAGGCUGUCGGCUAGAACGCGCCCGACGGUGAGGGAUGAAAGCUGGGGGAGCGAACCGGAUUAGAUACCCGUGUAGU